rnacentral:rRNA from 1 species
AGCGAACGCUGGCGGCAGGCUUAACACAUGCAAGUCGAACGCCCCGCAAGGGGGGCGGCAGACGGGUGAGUAACACGUGGGAACGUACCCUUUGGUUCGGAAUAACUUGGGGAAACUAAAGCUAAUACCGGAUAAGCCCUUUUGGGGAAAGGUUUACUGCCGAAGGAUCGGCCCGCGUCUGAUGAGCUGGUUGGUGAGGUAAUGGCUCACCAAGGCGACGAUCAGUAGCUGGGCUUAGAGGAUGAUCAGCCACACUGGGCCUGAGACACGGCCCAGACUCCUACGGGAGGCAGCAGUGGGGAAUAUUGGACAAUGGGGGCAACCCUGAUCCAGCCAUGCCGCGUGAGUGAUGAAGGCCUUAGGGUUGUAAAGCUCUUUUACCCGGGACGAUAAUGACUGUACCGGGAGAAUAAGCCCCGGCUAACUUCGUGCCAGCCGCCGCGGUAA